GACAGAGGUGCCGAGCGUUAGGCGGAAUCACUGGGCUUAAAGCGUGUGUAGGCGGGCGGGCAAGUACCUUGUGAAAUCCCACGGCUCAACCGUGGAACGGCUGGGUAUACUGCCUGUCUUGAGCCAACUAGGGGCGAGCGGAACAGACGGUGGAGCGGUGAAAUGCGUAGAUAUCGUCUGGAACGCCGCAGGUGAAAACAGCUCGCUGGGGUUGUGCUGACGCUGAGACACGAAAGCCAGGGGAGCGAACGGG
rnacentral:rRNA from 1 species